rnacentral:rRNA from 1 species
GACGAACCGUGCGAACGUUAUUCGGAAUCACUGGGCUUAAAGCGCGUGUAGGCGGAUGGGAACGUCGGUAGUUGAAAGCCCCCGCUCAACCGGGGAAGUGGUGCCGAAACGACCCGUCUGGGAGGGACGUAGGGGGACUUGGAAACUUCCGGUGGAGCGGUGAAAUGCGUUGAUAUCCACAGGAACUCCGGUGGCGAAGGCGG